GUGAGUGUGCGGGUUCGCGCGUGGGACCAAGCAUGGGUUCUGGGGAUCCCCGUGGGCACGGCGGGACAGUAGGAGGAGGGCAGGGUGACCGUGCGGGUGAACGGUGGGUCUCCCUUCCGCAGGGCACCGCGGUGGGCUGCAGGGCUGCGACGAGGGCACAGCCUCCUGCAAUCGCGGUCUACGCACUACUUCCCCCACCCCACCCCCUGCGCGUUUUGUUCCCAGCAACACAGAUGCGUGAGCUAACUCGUGUGACAGCCACAUUCCAGCCCUCUACACCCUACACCCCGCCUUCCCCCGUACAGGCCUUGGGCCUUGGCGCCAGUAACUCCUGAAUACACCUGGCACUGGCAUGUGACCUUGGGCACACCUGGUUCCCAGAGCUGCUGUGAGGACUGUGUUGGAAGCUGGUUUAGUCAAAGCCAGCCAGGGUUCAGGAAGGAGCUGUUUUCAUUCCUGUUGGUUGUUAAGUGACCUGGUGUGAGUGGGGAGGGGGAGACUCUUUCCACAAGGAAGCUGUUGUCUAUAUCUGCGUCUCUUCUGCACGUUGAAGGCCUCACGCAACACAGCUGUACCAGCAUGUACCAGAGAAACGCUGGCCCAUCGUGUACUCUCCACGUUACAACAUCACCUUCAUGGGCCUAGAGAAGCUGCACCCCUUUGAUGCUGGGAAAUGGGGCAAGGUGAUCAACUUCCUGAAAGAAGAGAAGCUGCUGUCUGAUGGCAUGC
rnacentral:lncRNA from 1 species